UCUCAUUUUCAGGUCCUGGAUGGCUCACCCUUGUCAAAUGCUUUGCUACUGCGGCUUCUCCGAUCACACAGAAUCCUAGCAAGAGCGGGGUGAGACCCAGCAUUGCUACUAGAAAAACCCAAGGCCUUUUCACUUUCAGUAUUUGAAGACCCAAAUAUAAGCCAAAGAACUAAUUGAGGCCCAGUGCAACCAUCCUCAGCCUGCUGGACAGGAGAGAAGAGAAUACGAGUGAGGUCUGGGUUGACAGUGGUAGUGGAGCACGACAUCUGUGCAC